rnacentral:rRNA from 1 species
GAUGAACGCUGGCGGCGUGCCUAAUACAUGCAAGUCGAGCGAAUGGAUUAAGAGCUUGCUCUUAUGAAGUUAGCGGCGGACGGGUGAGUAACACGUGGGUAACCUGCCCAUAAGACUGGGAUAACUCCGGGAAACCGGGGCUAAUACCGGAUAACAUUUUGAACCGCAUGGUUCGAAAUUGAAAGGCGGCUUCGGCUGUCACUUAUGGAAGGAUCCGCGUCGCAUUAGCUAGUUGGUGCGGUAACGGCUCACCAAGGCAACGAUGCGUAGCCGACCUGAGAGGGUGAUCGGCCACACUGGGACUGAGACACGGCCCAGACUCCUACGGGAGGCAGCAGUAGGGAAUCUUCCGCAAUGGACGAAAGUCUGACGGAGCAACGCCGCGUGAGUGAUGAAGGCUUUCGGGUCGUAAAACUCUGUUGUUAGGGAAGAACAAGUGCUAGUUGAAUAAGCUGGCACCUUGACGGUACCUAACCAGAAAGCCACGGCUAACUACGUGCCAGCCGCCGCCGUAA